CCUACGGGGGGCAGCAGUGAGGAAUAUUGGUCAAUGGCCGAGAGCCUGAACCAGCCAAGUCGCGUGAGGGAUGACGGCUCUAUGGGUUGUAAACCUCUUUUGCCGGGGAGCAAAGAGCGGGACGCGUCCCGCCUCGAGUGUACCCUGUGAAUAAGCAUCGGCUAACUCCGUGCCAGCAGCCGCGGUAAUACGGAGGAUACGAGCGUUAUCCGGAUUUAUUGGGUUUAAAGGGUGCGUAGGGGGACUGUUAAGUCAGCGGUAAAAGGCGGGGGAUCAACCCUGGCGUGCCGUUGAAAAUGGGUGGAUUGAGAUUGUGUGAGGCAUGCGGAAUGCGCAGUGUAGCGGUGAAAUGCUUAGAUAUUACGCAGAACCCCGAUUGCGAAGGCAGCAUACCGGGGG
rnacentral:rRNA from 1 species